rnacentral:rRNA from 1 species
GAUUAACGCUGGCGGCGUGCAUAACACAUGCAAGUCGAACGAAGUGGCGGACGGGUGAGUAACGAGUGAGUAACCUGCCUUAGAUAAGGGGAUAGCCUUUGGAAACGAAGAAUAAUACCCUAUGCUCUAAGUUGGAAUUGCGUCUGAUUAGGUAGUUGAUGGGUUAACGGCCCACCACGACAGCGAUCAGUAGCCGUCUUGAGAGAGUAUACGACCACAUUGGGACUGAGGCACGGCACAGACUCUACGGGAGGAAGCAGUUGGGAAUUUUGCGAAAUGGGGGAAACCCUGAAGAAGCGACGACGCGUGAUUUAGAAGGCCUUCGGGUUAUAAAAAUCUUUUCUAUGGAAAGCAGUACCAUAGGAAUAAGGCCCAGCUAAUUACGUGCCAGCAGCCGCGGUAAUAA